rnacentral:lncRNA from 1 species
CCACGGAAGUUCGCGCCAUUUGCAGAGGGGAGGAGCCCAGCCUCUUGCGUUCCUGUGUGAUGGGGCCGGAGCCAGUAAACAGGCUUCCUUCUCGCUCUGCUGUAUAAGAAGAAGAAGUAGGAGAAACAAAAUAAGGAGGAGAAGAAGUAAAAUAAUUUGAGAAGGAAUAUGAAGGUGAAACAUGAAGAUGAUGGUGGACAGGUGAGCUACGCAGUUCGUGGAAGAACCAGGGGUCACAUGGCCUAGAUGCUACCCUAGAUGAGAAAGAGUCCAAUGGUUAUCAACAAGUUCUGAAAGGCAAGGCCUAAGGUACUGAAAAUUAUAUUACUCAAAGCUGAAGGCAGCAAAUCUGUUCAUGUUUACACAGUUGGGAAAGUGGACUUGUGUUUUUUACAAGCAAACCAGUGACCAGCCAAUGGCAGGAGACCUUCCCCACCCCUAAAGGUGAUGCUCACCUACCGUCAUGGGUAAAAGGAAGCUCUGGCUCGAAUUCCUCAUGUAUUAUUCAUGUGUGAUGCCACCCAACGUGAUUCAGAGAAGAAAAUUCUCAGUGUGUUCACCAGAGGUGAUUACAUGAGAAUAAAGCACGGCCUGAUUUUUUUUCUUGUUCACAGGAAAAAAAAAA